CAGUCGCCGCGGUAAUACGAAGGGUGCAAGCGUUACUCGGAAUUACUGGGCGUAAAGCGUGCGUAGGUGGUGGUUUAAGUCCGUUGUGAAAGCCCUGGGCUCAACCUGGGAAUUGCAGUGGAUACUGGAUCACUAGAGUGUGGUAGAGGAUAGUGGAAUUUCCGGUGUAGCAGUGAAUGCGUAGAGAUCGGAAGGAACAUCUGUGGCGAAGGCGACUAUCUGGGCCAACACUGACGCUCAUGCACGAAAGCGUGGGGAGCAAACAGGAUUAGAGACCCGCGUAGUCCCUGUCUCUUAUACA
rnacentral:rRNA from 1 species